rnacentral:misc_RNA from 1 species
AAAAAAAAGAACAAUUCCGGGAUAAAGAGCAAUUGGUAGAUCGAGAAAGGUCCCGCAAAAAAUUCAUACAAACCUCCGAAUACAUGCCAAUUAAUUUCAAAUUCCAAUCAAUCACAUCCUAGGAAUCAAGCCCAAUUUACAAAUCCAGCAUAAAAAUAUCAUACAAAAGAAAAAAAGAACAAUUCCGGUAUAGAGAGCAAUUGGUAGAUCGAGAAAAAGGAC